UCCGGGCCAGCCGGGACCGAGCCUUCGCCGGAUAAUCGAAAACACGGAUAAUCCAAAGACUCAUUUUUAUUUUUUUAAUACAUAAUUUAUUUAAACAAAUACAUGUGCCAGACGAAAAGAAACAACGUGAUAAAACAUAAUGCAACAAAAAAAAAUGUUUUAUUACCUAUUUAGACAUAAUGUAUUUGCUAUGUUAUACAUACAUAUUAUAUUACAUAUUAUAUGUAUAUACAUACAUAUGUACAUAUAUAAAAAAAUCACU